rnacentral:misc_RNA from 1 species
GGUGUGGUGUGUUGAUUAGUCUAAUCCACUGGCUAAAACAGUGAUUAGCACCUAGCAAGUGGGAUCACUAACUUUAAUGUCGGUGUUAAAGCUAAGUUUACUUUAAUGCAGCGAUACCAUAUAUCUACAAAUAGAAUCUCUGAGAAGUUACUGUCACCAGCCAGAAAAUUUUCUUUACACUGAUUCUUUGGGUGAUGGGCAACUUGCAAAAGAUUAGCAUACCAUAUUUAAGACUUUCUUAAUAAUUAUGGCAGGCAUCUGUCUCCCCCCAUUGUCCGCCUGCUUUGGCUAAACUUUUUGUUAGUUCCAUUAAUAGGAUGAGAAGUUGAGGGUGAAACAUGCAAUGUACAUAGUGAGUAGUCAAUCAAAAUGAAUGCACUUUAAUUCACACAUCUCAAGUCUUGAUUAAUGAUGUAAGUUUAAAACAUGAAGGCAGCUUCCUUCAGAAAUAUUUGUUUUCUCAAAGAAUUGAAUCCAAUUCUCAGUGCUCAAGAAUUCGCAUGUCCACUCCAGACUCAUGUUUAUAUUCGUAGAAAAGAAAAGAAUGCCAGCAAGGAGACAACAUGAAUGCUUUUAUUCGCUUAUUAAGAAACACCAAAUCCAAUUUUAUUACACGAGUUACAAGAUAUCGAAUGGGCCGCACAAUCUUUGGUACUCAUCACAGCAAAAAUCAUGAAUGCUUCUGAUAUCAAAUCUAUCCCUAUGAAACUUGACCCAAGUUUGAAACCAAAAAUCAAUGGAAAGAUGAAAGAAGAAUUACUGUUUGGCUUGAAUUUUUAUUAAGGUGCGAAUGGAGCAAAAACCACCACUGAAUUGUGCCCACCAAAGCCAAAUGAAUUUGAGAUAGCAACAUUGACUUCAUGCUGCUUCUUCAUGUUGGGAACAGUGUCAAUUGUGACAUCAGGUUCUAAGUUCUACAAAUAUUAGAAUACAAGGGCAUGAAAAUGCGUUUGGAAGUUGUUAUUGGAAUGAAAUAAAAUGGCGUAUGAGUAAGAAUAAGUUCUGGUGCUUACAUCUUGAUUGAUAGUUGGAUGCAGCCAUCCUGUGGUGAUUGCUUUUAUAGUUGCUAUAGCUUCUAGUCCACCCGCAGCACCGAGCCCAUGUCCAAUCAUUGACUUAGUGCCAUUCAUCUUUAUCUCUGAUGUGUCCUUAAAGACUUUCUUGAUGGCAUUAACUUCAGCCAAAUCCCCUGCAAGUGUUGAGGUUGCAUGAGCAUUAACAUAGUUCACCUCCUCAGGGGAAACUUUGGCAUCCUCUAAGCUCUUGAUUAUGCAAGUUGAAACUCCUAGUCCAUCAGACCGAGGAUCAGUCAUGUGAUGAGCAUCACAAGUUACAGCGCCUCCUAAAUAUUCUGCAAUUAUAUUGGCUCCUCUUUUCAUUGCAUGAUCCAAGCUCUCCAUAAUCAGCACCCCAGCACCUUCUCCCAUGACAAAACCAUCGCGAUCCUUGUCCCAAGGUCUUGAAGCUUUCUUGGGGUCUUCGUUUCUUUGAGACAAUGCUCUGCAAGCUAUAAAACCACCGACACCAGUAGGCAUGAUAGCAGCCUCAGUGCCCCCAGCCACCAUAACGUCUGCUUCGCCUCUUCUAAUGUGAUUAGCAGCUGCAUAGAAGCAGUAAUUUGCAGUUGCGCAAGCAGUUGAAAUGGAGUAAUUAGGUCCCAUUAAGCCAGUAUCAAUAGCUAACAAUGCUGAACCCAUAUUGGUUAUAGAGUAAGGAAUGAAAAAUGGAGUUAUCUUCUUAUAUCCCUUUUGGAUAAGAGCUUCAACUCCAUUACUAAAAGCUGUUAAACCUCCCAUCCCAGUUCCUACCAGCACUCCAAUUCUUGUUUUGUCCAUUUUGUCAAGCACACCAGAGCCAAGGUUGGCAUCAUCAAGGGCCCUCUUACCAGCAACUAGACAGUACCUCCAGCAAUCAUCAAGACGGCGAUCAUUUUUCCCAUCAAUGUACCCUUUCGAAGAAAAAUCACGAAUCUGACCCGCCAAGCGGACAGAGAAAGUAGAAGCAUCAAACCUAUCUAUUAGGCUAAUCCCACUCUCUCCCUCAAGUAGUUUGUUAUAGAAUGUAUCAACGUCACUACCAAAAACUGAGACUAGCCCCAUUCCUGUUAUGACAACUCGUUUCUUGGGAUCUUUUUCUCGCUGGGGAGCUAAAACAUUUGGAGAAGCCAUGGCUCUUACUCUUCUGGAUUUUGGAGCUGAAGUAGAAAUGAACCCACUUGACUUGGUCCUAAGGGAAGUCAUUUGCAUAUUAUCCAGUGGUCUAAGCCCAUUGUAGUGAGGCAGAGAAGCUCCAUUGCCACCUAUAUCUCGGCUUCUAAACAAAACACUGGAAGAACAAGAACCAGCAAUGCUUGCCAUAUCUGUGUGUCAGCUCAGCUGAUCUCUUUCUUGCUCUCCCCUUCUGAAAAUGUGAAAGAUUUAAAAGUCUGCAACUUUGGGUUAUCAGAGGAAGAGAAGGACUUGACAAAGAGAGUUUUGUUUGCUGGUUUAAUUUGGGUUUGUUGGAGAAUCCGCCAGCAGUUGGUUUAGGUAGUGAACAAAUGCUUGGCGAUAAUUGCAAAUAGGGUUUGCUGUUCUUCAUUUGGUUUAGCCGUUUAACUACUCCGAACAACCAACAACCUUCAAUCUUUGGGCUUGGCCUGUAAAUGCC